rnacentral:rRNA from 1 species
UGGGGAAUUUUGGACAAUGGGCGAAAGCCUGAUCCAGCAAUGCCGCGUGAGUGAAGAAGGCCUUCGGGUUGUAAAGCUCUUUUGUCAGGGAAGAAACGGUGAAAGCUAAUAUCUUUUGCUAAUGACGGUACCUGAAGAAUAAGCACCGGCUAACUACGUGCCAGCAGCCGCGGUAAUACGUAGGGUGCAAGCGUUAAUCGGAAUUACUGGGCGUAAAGCGUGCGCAGGCGGUUAUAUAAGACAGAUGUGAAAUCCCCGGGCUCAACCUGGGACCUGCAUUUGUGACUGUAUAGCUAGAGUACGGUAGAGGGGGGUGGAAUUCCACGUGUAGCAGUGAAAUGCGUAGAGAUGUGGAGGAACACCGAUGGCGAAGGCAGCCCCCUGGGAUAACACUGACGCUCAUGCACGAAAGCGUGGGGAGCAAACA